rnacentral:lncRNA from 10 species
AGAGGCGGGGCGAGCGCGCGCGGGGCGGAAGUCGGCCACCUUCCUCCGUCCCGGCCGUUAGCCCAGCCAAGCCCAGCCAAGCCCAGCCAAGCCCCGCCGAUCGCGGGCACCGGAGCCAGCCCCGCAGCGGAAAAGCACAUCUCCCAGGAUCCUGAGAGAGCUUGAACCAGACCACUGUGGACACGGUGGCCACCCGUCACCACUACCCUUCCCAAGGGGAGACGAGGAGCAAGUAGGCUUGAGGGAAAAGCUGCACAGGACUCGUGUCUUGAAAUGUCUAAGACGCAUGUCAGAAAUGCAGGAGCCUAACCCAGAGGAAGUGGAGACUCCUUUACUGCACAUCUGUCUGCUCCAGGCCAGGCACUGUUCUAGGAGCCAGGAUACAGAGGUGGAGACAGAAACAAACAAACCGAUAACUGUAUACAAUACUCUAACGUCAGAGGGACCACAGAGCACCAGCCUGCAUGGAACUUCCUUCCUCACUCAGCUUCCCACGUUGCCAGCUGGGACAGGGGAGAUGGAGUAAUUUUGCUGUGGAAAGACUUCACGUCUUGCCGAAUGAAAGU